UGCCAAUGAUGUACAUAGAAUUUCUCAACCUGAAAAACCAUGUGGGCAUCAAGAGCUUUUUAACCCUGAGGCAA
rnacentral:snoRNA from 1 species